rnacentral:rRNA from 1 species
CAGCAGCGCUUGUUCUGUAACAGUCGAUGGCUCAUUAAAUCAGUUAUCGUUUAUUUGAUAGUACCUUACUACAUGGAUACCUGUGGUAAUUCUAGAGCUAAUACAUGCUAAAAACCCCGACUUCGGAAGGGGUGUAUUUAUUAGAUAAAAAACCAAUGCCCUUCGGGGCUCCUUGGUGAUUCAUAAUAACUUAACGAAUCGCAUGGCCUUGCGCCGGCGAUGGUUCAUUCAAAUUUCUGCCCUAUCAACUUUCGAUGGGAGGAUAGUGGCCUACCAUGGUGGCAACGGGUAACGGGGAAUUAGGGUUCGAUUCCGGAGAGGGAGCCUGAGAAACGGCUACCACAUCCAAGGAAGGCAGCAGGGCGCGCAAAUUACCCAGUCCCGACACGGGGAGGUAGUGACAAUAAAUAGGGAUACGGGGCUCUUUCGGGUCUCGUAGUUUGAAUGAGUACAAUCUAAAUCCCUUGAAGAGGAACAUUUGGUGUGUAAGUUCUGGUGCCAGAAGCCCAGUGUUUUCCUUUGCCUUUGUCCGUAGAAGAAGUUCGUUUUU